GAGGGUAUAGCUCAGUGGUAGAGCGCAUGCUUAGCAUGCACAAGGUCCUGGGUUCCAUUCCCAGUACUUCCA
rnacentral:tRNA from 1 species